UUGCCAGCCACAGAGAGGAGCAGGAGGCUGAGCAGAGGGAGCUGAGUGGGAACUGAGUGGGAACCGGCAGCCACCGUGAUGUCAGUAUCAUGCUUUGUGUUGUACACAUGUAUGGGGUAUUUCAGGAUGCAAUACCUUUGAUGAUGUGCAUGUGGACUUCACUUGGGAAGAGUGGGCUUUGCUGGAUCCUUCCCAGAAGACUCUCUACAAAAAUGUGAUGCCGGAGACCUACAGGAACCUCACUGCUAUAGGCUGCAAUUGGGAAGACCAUAGUACUGACAAACAUUGUCAAAGUUCUAGAAGACAUGGAAGGUAAUAUUCAUGGGCAAGUUUGUAUGAAUACGCCUCUGAAGAAAUUUUAAUGUCUCCUGGAAGUUUUAAAGAAAAGCAACAGUAUAACAAAAAGUACUGCUUUAAUUGUAUCUGCAUGAAAGAUGUCAUCUGAAUAUACUCAAUAUGGUAAGGCCUUUGCAUGUCACAGUUAUCCUCAAAAGCAUGAAACAAUUCAUUCUGGAGAGAAACCCUAUGACGAUAUUCAAUAUGGUGAAGCCUUUGUACAUCCCAGUAGUCUCCAAAUACAUAAAAGAACACAUACUAGAGAGAAACC